CCUAGUCUAGGGUAUGGACAGGAGGAUUGUUUGGGCCUUCGGAUAUAGGCGCAAAAGAAAUGAAGUUGAAUUAGAGAGGGGGUACGGACCCGGAGGUAAGGUGUACUGAGGAUAAGCCCAAACGCAAACCCUAUGCUAAACCCAGGUUUUCCAAUGUGAAAACUCUCACAAACGGAGGCCACCAACACCCCACACGACAAUCAAUUCUCUUCACUAAGCCAAAAAGCGCUUCUCAAAACGGAAGGAGAGCUUCUUCGGAGAAUCACGUUUUCUUUACGAAUUUUGUUUGCGUUCGUCAUCAGCAUCGAUGUAUUUCCAAUCGUUGGCUUACACUUCGUCGCCAAUCCUCGCCGCGUUUCACAUAGCUUCCUCGUCGCGACCUGGAUCCUUCGUUCGAAUUUGGAUCUCAUCAUCGUGUUUCCGGCGGCAGGCUCAAUCAUCCGUUUCGGAUUCAAUUCACCGUUGUGUUUCUGGCAGCAGGCUCAAUCGCCCGUCCUUCGCCGCAAAACACGUCGUCACGGCUGCACGUCGGCGUUGCGUUUUCGCAACUUCAUCGUCGCGUAUGUGGAUUCAAUUCUCCAGCUUUGCGUAAACGUCUAUUCGAAUUCGACUUGAAGCUUUGGUUUAGAGCAUGUGCGUCUUUGUUCUUCUUCUUCAGUUCCCGUUUGCUUCUGUUUCUGUGAGUUUCACUCUUCUCCUUUGUGAUUUGCUUUUGAUGGCAUGAUGACGGUUGAAGGGUGGAUGAAACUCUGGAUGCCGCUCGAGAAGGACUCCAAUGCAGCAAAAAAUCUGAUGCAGAAUGAGGAGCUUUUGUAGAACGAUGAUAAGGUGGUUUGAUUGAAGGUUGUGGAGAAGAUGAAGGGUGAGGAAUGAUUGAAGAAAACAAAAUAAAGAUGUGGAAACAAAAUGAAGAUGGGGUUGAAGAUCCAAGAAGAUUGAAGAUUGAACAAAGAUGAGUUAAACUGAUUGUGUUGAAGGGAUUGGAUCCAGUUAAAGUCUCUGUUAAUCCGAUUUUGCAAGGCGACGCCCUUUCAAAUUGGAAGCUGCGUUUUUUCCAUUUUCCUUUCAAUUUCUGCGUUUUGGUUUGGAUUUGCCUGUGUAAAUUUCAAUUUUCCUGUCAAGUGCGGUUUCUGUUAACUGGUGUAGCAGUAAUCUUGUUAAUUUGUUCCCUUUUAAUGGGGAUGGCUAUGUGUUCAGAAGUUGGUUUUUAUUGGAUAUGGAUAUUAGUUGUAUUAAUGGAUAUCUGGUUAUAUAUCAAUGGCUAUGGACAUUUGUUAUGUUAAA